CCAAAAGUACUCCAAGACGAGCCGGGCCGAAGCCCAACGAAGCAGGAGGAACCAAUGAGAGCGCCCUAGGGAUUCCCCCCCCUCCUCCAGGGGCGGGGCACAGCCGAGAACUUUCCUAAGACGUUGCCGUGACUGGAGGAGCGGCGGAGAGAACCAAUGAGAAUGGCAGGGGCUCAGAGUGGGGCGUGACCGAGACUGUCAGCCUCCAUGAGGACUUAGUGAGGGAGGGGCCGGAGCGUCACAAAGUAGCGGAGGGGGGGGGGCGGGGCCGAGACAAUGAACUUUCCUAAGAGUUUCAGAGUUGGGAGGGGUAAACGAAGUAAGUGAAAGGGCGGGGCCUUGAGGAAGACCGGUUGCCAGUUAGCCUUGGGCAUGCCUCCGGGGGACGUGGCCAGACCUCUGCGAAGGAAAGUAGUCUCCCCUCGCCUAAGGUCAGGUCACUCGGCCACUAACGACUAAAAAGGAUCCUGGGAGUCACUUAGUCUAUUCCGGGUUUCCCCGCCUCCAGGAUAGCCAUCCCGAUAAUGCCAGGAGGGGGCUUCCUUGCCCCGCCCCCGUCUCUCCGGACCCCUCGAACCCUUCCCUGUAACGGUCCCUAAGGGGGGGGGGUGGUAAGAGAGGCUACAUGCCCUGACCUCGCCAUACGCCUGCAGCCUCCCGACCCUGUUUCUUACUGUGCAGCAUCCGGGAAUAGAGAGGAAGAGGUCCUUGACUCCAGCUGUUAGGGUCAGUCACCUGGGAUUCCGUUGGAGUGAGGACCCCCCUCUCCCAAAGUAGGGGAGUUUUCUGCCCCUGGGGAGUUGGUUGUCUAGGACGCUGAGAAGGGAACAGACUUGCCCAGGGUCACCCAGCAACAGUCCGAGAAGCGACCCUAGACAGCUCUAUGCCCCCACCUGGGGAUACAAAACUCCCCAGGAGUUUCUGUUCCAUCGGGCUCAGGCAGAGGAGGCGUCCCAGGGACCCAGUUGGACACAGAUCAGUGAGAGAUAUUUGCUCAGCUGAUACCUGGCUUUCCUCCCUCACACUCUGGGCUGUCCUAGGAAAAGCCAGCUCUCUCCCCACUCAGGAUAUUUGCCCACUCAGGAUAUUUGCCCCCUCUAGCUUAGUUUGCAGAGGCAGACCCUGAGCCAGGGUUCCCCUGGAAAGCAACAGUUGGCCAACAAGCAAACUACCUCGCUGGACUUUGGGACAAAGUGGAAAACCCAGAAAAUAACUGCCCACAUAAUGUAAAGAUUUCUUUCUGUAUUUCAACCAAAACAACAUCAUGCAAUGGAAUGAAUGCCAAUACAGACAGGAGGGUCCAGCUGGCCUCCAUUAAGCCAGUGCCAAAGACCUGUGCCAUCAUAGAUUCAGAAGUCAUCGGCCCCCUCUGAGGCCCAGAAAAGGGGGCCACUGGAAGAAACAGAAGUCAAAUUCAGACUCAGAUCCUGCCAACACAAACCCAGGCCUUUCUGCUGGACCAUGCUGCCUCCCUAUGGUAGUAGGUGUUUAAUAAGUGGUCAAAUCUCCCCAAACCCACCCAAAGCCGAACAGCCUCAGAAGAUUUACCCCCCCCCCCCAAGUCCCUUUGAUUCUUUUCCCCAAGUGUCUCUCAUCCAUCCAUCCCCUCCCUUCUGAUGACCCUGGUCUCUCUUUGUCUCCUUCCCUGUCAUCAUCACUCUCCCCAACCUGCCCCCAUGGAUUAUUUCCCCCAAAUAUUCUUUUUGUCAUGGUCCGCCCCACCUCUACAUAUCUCCUGGCAGUUAGGAGCAAGUCCCAAGGUCUUAUCAAAGCCCUCUCCAUCUGUCCAGGCUCUUUUCCCACCUAGGCAGCCACAGACCCUCAGCAGCAGCCGGCUUGGCCUGCUCUCUGUGUAUUAGAUGUUCCACUUCUAGGUUCCAAAGGCCCAAAGAGGGCCCAGAACAAUAAUACAGCUCAGGAGGUAAGACCUCUGCAGCCUAGGACAAGCCCACCCGCUCAGUACAGACCGCUUUGUCACUACCCCAGCUCCGAGGGAAGCUUUUUCUUCCAUGGCUGGGACCCAUAGAUGCUUCUCCGCAUCUACCGCUGGUUACUCCCAGCCUACCCUCUGUGGUCCUCCUAACAAGCAAAAUCCCUCUUCCACAAGCCAGGUCCUGCAGUCUAUCUUUUCUUAUUUUUUAAUUUAAGUAUUUUUAUCUCUCCCUGGUUAUAUGAUUCAUGUUCUUUCCCUCCCCUUAUUGCCCCCCCCCCCCAGCUGACAAGCACUUCCACUGGGUUAUACAUGUAUUAUCACACAAUACCCAUUUCCAUAUUCGUUUUUGUAAGAAUCUUUUAAAAACCCCAAACCCCAAACCCCACAUCCAAUACCCAUAUAAACAAGUGAAAAAUCAAAUGUUUUCCGUCUGCAUUUCUGCUCUCACAGUUCUUUCUCUGGAUGUGGAUAUCCUUCUUUCUCAUAAAUUCCCCUGGAUUGUGCUGGAUUAUUGCAUUGCUAUCAGAAGCCAAGUUGAUUAUAUACGGUCAUCCCAUAAUGUUUCAGUCUCUGGGUACAGUGUUCUCCUGGUUCUGCUCAUUUCAUUCCACCUCAGUUCAUGUAGGUCUCUCCAGCUCAUAUGAAAAUCAAGCAGUUCGAUCAAAUCAAGCAAUAAGUCCAUACCACGAUUUGUUCAGUCAUUCCUCAACUGAGGGGCAUCCCCUCAUUUUCCAAUUUUUUACCACCACAAAAAGUGCAGCUAUAAAUAUUUUUGUGAACACAUUUUUCAUUCUCUCUUUGGGGUACAAACCCAGCAGUGCUAUGACUGGAUCAAAGGAUAUGCAUUCUUUUAGCGCCCUUUGGGCAUAGUUCCAAAUUGGUUGGAUCAAUUCACAAGUCCGCCAGCAAAGCAUUAAUGUCCCUACUUUGCUGCAUCCCCUCCAGCAUUCAUUACUUUCCUUUGCUGUCAUGUUAGCCAAUCUGCUAGGUGUGAGGUGAUACCUCAGAGUUGUUUUGAUUUACAUUUCUCUAAUAAGGAGGGAUUUAGAACACUUUUUCAUGUGAUUAUUGAUAGUUUUUAUUUCUUUAUCUCAAAACUUCCUAUAUCCCUUGACCAUUCAAGGGCAAUGACUUGAUUUUUUUGUAUAUUUGACUUAGUUCCUUAUAUAUUUAGGAAAUUAGACCUUUGUCAGAGAAUUUUGUUAUAAUUUUUUCCCCUGAUUUGUUGCUUCCCUUCUAAUUUUGGUUGCAUUGGUUUGGUUUUUAUAAAACCUUUUUAAUUUAACAUAAUCAAAAUUAUUCAUUUUAUAUUUUGUAAUGUUCUCUAUCUCUUGCUUGGUCUUAAAUUCCUUUUCCAUUGAUCUGACAGGUAUACUUAUGCUUAUCUAUUUAUGAUUUUACUCUUUAUAGUUGUCAUUUACCUAUUUUGAAUUUAUCUUGGAGAUGUUGAUCUCUAACCUCACCCAUCCUGUCUUCCAAUUUUCCCAGCAGUUUUUGUCAAAUAGUGGAUCUUUGUCCCAAAAGCUGGGGUCUUUGGGUUUAUCAUAGACUGUCUUGCUGAGGUCACUUGCCCCAAGACUAUUCCACUGAUCCUCCUUUCUGUCUCUUAGCCAGUACCAAAUUGUUUUGAUGACUGCUGCUUUGUAAUAUAGUUUGAGAUCUGGGACUGCAAGGCCACCUUCCUUUGUAUUUUUUUUUUUCCAUGAUUUCCCUGGAUAUCCUUGAUCCUUUGUUCUUCCAAAUGAACUUUGUUAUGGUUUUUUCUAAUUCAGUAAAAAACUUUUCUGGUAGCUUGAUAGGUAUGGCACUGAUUAAGUAAAUUAGUUUAGAUAGGAUUGUUAUUUUUAUUCCCUGCAAACUUUAAAGAAAAGCCAUGCUCCAUCCCUUCAAACCUUCAUUUUUCCAAACUAAUCAUCCCUGAUCCUUGAAUCAGUUCUCUCAAAGUCAGCUGAACAUGAGGGUCUCCCCACCUGGUAUGACCUUUUCCUGCUACCAUCUAAAUCUUCUCUAUCCAUCUACCUAAAAUUACAUCCCUCAUCUACCCCAGCCCAAGAAGACCCUGCCCUCCCCUGAACUCAUAGGGUCCUAGGGUUCUCAAAAGAUUAUUUCACUACAUUUCAUUUUCAUUUAGGCCCUAAUAUAUCCUAGACCCCAUUCCUGGCAUUGGGCACAGAAAAUAAAAUAGUUCUGCCAUCAGGGGGGCUUAUAGUUUAUCUUGAUGAUGGGAAAUUUAAAGGAAAUGGAGUCCAGACAUCUAAUAGAGGAGGAAACCAAGACCAAGACAGGGAAAAUGACUUGCCCAGGAUCACCUAGACAGAAAUAUCAGAACUGAGGCUCAAUGCAGUGACCCUUGAUGGUGACUCUCUCCCACCUCCUAUCCUCCUCACCCUUCUGAAAGCUUUCAUUGGCUGCAACACCCAGCUCUGUGCCCCUUCUUCCAUGAAGCCUUCUCCAGUUGCACUUCCCCUUACCGCAUAAGGAAUUGCUUCUUCCUCCAGUUUUCUAAGAGCAUCUUGUCCCCAGUCUCCCUUGUUCCUACUUCGUGCCUGUAUGGCAGUGGUUCUCAACCUUUCUAAUGCCGUGACCCCGUAAUACACUUCCUCGUGUUGCGGUGACCCCAAAUCAAAAACUUAUUUUGGUGGUGACUUCAAAACCGUAAUUUUGCUACAGUUAGGAUUCGGAAUGUAAAUACCUGAUGUGCAUGGUGUAUUCUUAUUGCUACAAAUGGAGAGGUUGAGAACCGCUGCUCUAUGGGAUUUGCUGCCUUUUCCUCAACCUCGUUGAAGGCAGGAUCACUUUUCAUCUUGGAAUUUUCAGCCCUGCACACAGCAGACACUUAAUAAAUGCUUUUUGACUCGACUCUAUGCCUCUUACUUUUCCUUUGUCACUGUGGCCUUUGUGUGAACCAUCUAGAUCGGUUCAGGUAAGUUUUUCAAGGAUUCUCCAAAUUCUUCCUGCUCACCUCUUCUCACAGCCCAGUUUGGUCUGCCGUUCCCCAGUCAAUAGACACAAAACCUUCUGCUCCAAAUAUUUGUGGUACAUGUGAGGCUCAUUAAGUGGACUGUGCAAAAGCAGACUGUUUCUGUGGGAAAAUACAAUGCUGCUUUGUUAGAGUUGAUAUAGAAGCAUUCAUGUUUUCUCCUCCACCCAGUUCACUCUCUCCCCCGAGUCCAGAGGCCUGAGUGGAGCAGAGCUCAAAGGGAACUCCCUGCCCAGGUUCAGCUGACAGUCAUGGGUCCAGGCCCCCCAGUGUGGUGUCCAGCCACCUCCAUUCUUUUUGGAGUGCUGGCAGCGGGCAGUGAGGGCUAGUAAUAGGAACAAGGCCCUCAUCCUCUGAAAUCCUGUGUUUCUCACCAGUUAGUAUUGGUUAAACAUAAACCACAGCAUCAGUCAAUCAUCAAUUGC